rnacentral:rRNA from 1 species
UGUAAACCUCUUUCAGCAGGGAAGAAGCGAGAGUGACGGUACCUGCAGAAGAAGCGCCGGCUAACUACGUGCCAGCAGCCGCGGUAAUACGUAGGGCGCAAGCGUUGUCCGGAAUUAUUGGGCGUAAAGAGCUCGUAGGCGGCUUGUCACGUCGGAUGUGAAAGCCCGGGGCUUAACCCCGGGUCUGCAUUCGAUACGGGCUAGCUAGAAUGUGGUAGGGGAGAUCGGAAUUCCUGGUGUAGCGGUGAAAUGCGCAGAUAUCAGGAGGAACACCGGUGGCGAAGGCGGAUCUCUGGGCCAUUACUGACGCUGAGGAGCGAAAGCGUGGGGAGCGAACAGGAUUAGAUACCCUGGUAGUCCACGCCGUAAACGUUGGGAACUAGGUGUUGGCGACAUUCCACGUCGUCGGUGCCGCAGCUAACGCAUUAAGUUCCCCGCCUGGGGAGUACGGCCGCAAGGCUAACUCAAAGGAAUUGACGGGGGCCCGCACAAGCAGCGGAGCAUGUGGCUUAAUUCGACGCAACGCGAAGAACCUUACCAAGGCUUGACAUAUACCGGAAAGCAUCAGAGAUGGUGCCCCCCUUGUGGUCGGUAUACAGGUGGUGCAUGGCUGUCGUCAGCUCGUGUCAUGAGAUGUUGGGUUAAGUCCCGCAACGAGCGCAACCCUUGUUCUGUGUUGCCAGCAU